AGUGACUGAGCUGAACUGAACACAGUAGUGGAGAGAAUUAUCAUUUAUCUAGCCAUUCUCUUACUGCUGUACAUUUAGCUUAAUUCUGAUUUUAUUCUUAUGCUGCUGCUGGGUUAUGGGAGCCAGUUGCAUUUUUUGCACACACAAAAAAUUGCUGUGCAGUAUUUAAAAUCUGUCCACUGGGGCUUUGCACGGAACCAAAUGUCUCCCUGAGGAUCUCCAGCUAUUCCUGCAUCUCUUCUUUAGCCAGAGAGAAAAUCUUCUCCCUUGCCCCCUGCCAGUCCCCAGAGAGCUGGAAACAACAGCCAUGGCCCCUGGAGUCUUUUCUCUUUCACACUUGGGUUUUUCUACCCUUACUCAAAAGGUGUGUUUUUCAAUGCCUCCUCCUGUCUCUGGUGGCUGUUGUGAUAAGUAAACUUUGGAAUCCAGAGGCCUUGGUUCAGAUCCUGGUGUUUCUGGGAAAUUGACUUAGCCUCUCUGUGCCUAGUUUCAUCCUUUGUAAAACAGAGAUAACAGUGGCAUGUGUAGCACUUCCAUGAGGACCAAGUAAACCAACAUGUGCAAUGUGCACGAUGCUGGUAACAAUCCCAAGAAUGUUAUCAUCCUGGGGUCUCUUGUCUGCGUUAGCUCCAGACCCACCUCUGAGGGCAGAAGGCCUAUGUUCCCUGUGGGCUGCCUGGGAUGGCUCCAGCCUUUGCGACAGCUUCAGCCCACUGUCCACUGAUUUCCCAGAGGAGGCUGCUGCCUGGGAAGGCAGCAGACGAUCAGAUUUCUGCUGCGCUCGGCCCUGUCGGUUCUGGAUCGAGGCCCACGGGGAGGGAAGGAGGUCAGCCUGACCCUCUGCUUGGUGAUGGUGGCCAGGAACCUGGUAAUGUAACCCCAUACCUCGGGCAGAUUUACCAACUCUCAAUGGGGCCUGUUGUGGCCAGGGAUUUGAUCUCUCUUGGCCUGCAGGGUGAGCAGGAGAAGAAAGCCGCUCGGGGCCAAGCUCUCCCUUGAGAGCCCUGGGGCCCCUCUGUACCACACUGGCUGGUCCAGGCCUGGGUUUACCUUUCAGCCCCUGGGGUAAAUCUCUGCAGCUCAUCAUCUAGUUAGUGCUGGAAAGGAUGGCCCCUUUGUUCUUUUUCUCACACCUCCUUCCCUCUUCCCUCCUUUUAGGUUCAAAACCACCUUUAUGCCACCAUCUAAACAGCUCUGCACAACCACCUUCUGAAGUAGGCAACCUGGUCAAGGCCAUUUUGCAGAUGUGCAAACAGAGGCCCAGAGAUGUCAAGUGACUUUCCCAAGGCCGCACAGUUAGGCGCUGGCCGGGUUAAAGGAAUAUACCCGGGCCAACUGGCUCCUUGUUCAGUUUUUUUUCAUGAGGCCACCCUGUGUGAUAGUUUUGGCAGAAGGUGCCCAGUGGGGCAGCCCUGCCUGUCCUCUUGCCCUCUGGUCCAUGGCAAGUGUGGUCAGUGAGCACAGAGGGUUGGAAGGCGAAGCACCAGCGCUGGCCCGGGGCCUGGCCUUUACCCAGCACCAGCCACAAACGCUCUCAGCAACCAGAGAUGGCAGGACAGAAAGUGGCUGCUUCAGCUGAGGCCACGUGCCCCUGCGGGGGGGGGAGAGCUUUCUCUUUGGGCCUGCCCUGUGGUGUGGGCAGGGGUCUGCAGCCUCCCUGGGCAGCCUGGGUGCUUCUCCGGGGAGGUGGGAGAGCAGCCAUCAUGCGGCGCAUUUUAAGACUGGAGGAAGGGAAGCUCCGAAAGGCGCAGGGGGCUGGUCUGAGCUGGCGGCUGGCAGACGGGAAACUUGAACCCACUCCCUGAUUCUCCCCGUAGACCUUCACCAGUCACGCUGCCGGUCACACCAAGGACAGUGAGUGGCCCAGCUUUGAGUUAAGAGCACAGUUGAGUGUCAGAAGAGGAAUAUGGGCUGGGUCCUGUUCAUGUGUAUCGAGGACUUUCUGUGCGCCAGGUGCUAUGCUGUCUUGACUCAUAAUAUCUCACUGAAUCCUCGGAAUAAUCUCAGGAGGCAGACACCAGUAUUAUCUCCAUGUAGUGGGCAAACAGGCACAAAGAAGUGACUUCCCGUGGUCACAUGGCGGGUGGGGGCGAAGCUGAGACUGGAAUCCCAGCAGAGUGGCUCAGAGUUGCCCGUUGUAUCACGACAAGGCCUCUCACAGCCGGAAGAGCGACACCCGCCUGUCUUCUCCUGGUACCUGGCCAUGGAGGGCCUCGGGGGACUCAGGAGACACCAGGAUCCAUCCCAGGAUCUGCCGCAGAUCUGCUGUGUGGCCUUGAGGGUGUGAUUUAUGCCGUAGGGCCCAGACUGGCAUUGUCUCAACCCCUUUUGAAGACACUAGGCUACCGGGGACUCUCAGCCUUGCCAGUUGGGGGACAACUGGACUCGGAAUCGAGGACCAGGUUCUGGUCCCAAACAGUCCUGGGACGGUGAGAAGCACAUGGCAGGGCGAGGUGGGGCUCGCCAGGGAACUCCACCACUGCACUCCCCCGGGUGGGCCCUGGGAAGCUGGGGUUUGGCAGACAGUACCCCCACAUGGGAGGCAAGCAGUGAUUCUGGAGGCUGCAAGAUCUGGGUUUGAAUACGAGCUUUCCCACUCACCUCUGGCCACCCACCUGGCCUUUCUGAGCCUCAGUUUCCUCACUGGUGAAACAGGAGGUGACGUGGUCCCCCUAAGUUGAGGUAAGGAUGAA